UUCAGCAGUCAUACCACCUGCAGUUCAGCCCAGGUAAUCCAUCUGAAGCUAAGCAGGGUUGGGCCUGACCAGCACUUGGAUGGGAGACCAACUAGGAAAGCAGUGUUGUUGCUGGAA
rnacentral:rRNA from 1 species